GAUAUAAAAGUUUUCGGCUCUAAGUUAAUCUUUAACCAACUCUUAUUCAGCUGGGCCUACGUUUAGCUCCCUUGGGAGUUUACCGAUUCAGGUCUCUGCAAUUGCCUGAGAACAAUGAAAGGAUCCAUCCGAUCCUAGUAUCCAACCCCAAAACCCUUAAUUUGAACAUGUUUCGGUUCGACUUUCUGCUUCAGUUUCAUCAUUAGCUAAACUUUCAGACAUCCAAAUCAACUGAGAAACAUAAGGUUCUCCUAUCAUCCUCUACCUGGAAAAGAUUUAACCCUUUUGUUACUUAGAGCCAAUUCUUUUUACCACCAAAAAGAAAACCCAAAGCUUCCUCUAUUGGUGCUGCUAAUUUUGAAGAGAGUCUGUUUUGUCUUGAUUUUAUCGGUUAUGCAUAUACCUAGAUGGCGAAACGUAUUUCUUCUGAAGAGUUCAUUGGUUCCACCUUUCUUAUCUUCAAAAGCAACGGCUACUGUUGCAACAACCCACGUUGCUUCGUUUCAUUCUACGCCUAUUACCUGUGAAAAAUGGAAGAGCAAAUGGGAUUUUGAGGAAAGAACACAACAACCAACUAAGAAUCACAUAAGGUAUACAGUACGUCAAAAGCGUGCUGAACAAAGAGUGCUCUAAAAAACCUGCUCUAUAAUAGUGGUUGCUCAAAUGUUUCAUUCCAGGAUGAAGUUCGAACAUGGAAAUUUGAUGGGGCGGAAGGCUGGGAUUCAGAUGGUUCUGAUAAGAAGUGGUGGUCAAGGUAUUCUGGACGACAUGCUGGGAAAUCUAACUGCAAAAAAGUUAAACGAAAGUUUAAAAGAGAGAGUUUCUCUGACGACUUUGAUCAUCCUGAGAGAAUCUUUCAAGCUAAAUUUGGGAACAAAUGGUAUACUUGGUCUUCUGGUGGAGAUAAGUCUUUCAAGAAUCCAGAAUCUGGAUUUGAGUGGAGAGGAAAAUCAGGCUGGACAAAUCAAAGAACGAAGGAGUGGGAAAGUACUAGUGACUCUGAGUCUGAGUCUGAGUCGGAGGAGGAGAAGUCGUAUGAUGUAGGAUCAUGUUCUGAUAGAGAAAUCCUUGGUUUGCCUCAGAGCAGGCCCCAUAAAGAUUGAAGACGUUAAGAAUGCCUUUCGCGUAUCAGCUUUGAAGUGGCAUCCUGAUAAGCAUCAAGGUCCUUCACAGGAGAUGGCUGAAGAGAAAUUUAAGAUGUGUGUAGAGGCGUACAAAUCAUUAUGCCAUGCUCUAUCCUAAGCCUUAGGAGGUUACAUUGCUCCAACCAAGUAAGUGGUCUCGGAGAAUAAUAGCUAAGAGGUAUAAUUGAAUCUGUUCUAUUUUAUUCUGAUUGUCAUAAUCAUAGGGUGAGUUUGGAUGGGCGGUGCGUUUACUUGCGGUUAGUGUUAAAAUAACGGUGGCGGUGAGAUUAGAUACUGUAGCGAUACUGUAGCGUGAGACAAAAAGUAAACUAAACGCACCGCACUGCACCCAAUCGCCCAUCCAAACCCACCCAUAGUCAAAUUGUCAAAAAAUUUGUUCGGCCCAACAAUUGACAAUGGUCCAUUAUUUUGUGGCUAAAACUCCAAAAAAAGUAAUUACAUUCUGAUUUAGUAA